rnacentral:lncRNA from 1 species
GGUGUCUACGCCUUCACGCACUCUGCUCCGCCCCCCUCAUCUCUCGACCAGCUCCCACUCAUCCUCCAAGAAUCUGCUCCAUCAUUACCUCCUCCAGCAGCCUCACUCAAACCAGCCUCCGGAGGAAUUAGCCGGGUCCUCCUCCUGUCUCCCUGGGCCACUGGGCAGCUCCGCAGAGCCGGGUCCCGGCUGAAGGCGGUAACGGUCAGUUCCACCCUCAAGCCAGUGCAGGGCGGCAGCCUGGCCUGGUGGCAAGAACCCUCGUGUUCCCACACGCCACAGCCUUAUGACUGGAGGAUGUUUUCUAAAAGCCAUCUCUCGCUGUGAAGCAACAUGACUGAGGACCGCCCAUCCUUCUACCUGACUCAUCCAUAAGGAGAUUCCUGAACAAUGGUCCCUUAAGGCUAACGAUGUUUAUUUGAGGGGGGAGGUAACAGAAUUUUUGGUGUUUGAGAUUUUUUCUUUUUAUCUUUAUACUUUUAUAUAUUGCUUUAUUUUUUGAAAUAGUGAACAUCCUUCAUUUAUAAAAACAAUAGUUAUUUUUAAAAGUUUUUAAAUGGCAGGCUUUUGUCAGUGCAUAGGAAAUAGGAAGCCAGCAAGGAGCAUUUUGUGCAUUUCUCUGUCAGGUCUGCAGGGCUGGAAAUGAGGGCGCGGUGUCCAAUUUCACCUUGAUACCAGCCGCUGGUUCAGCCCACCCAGUUGACCCCUCAUGUUAAAAUGGGUAAGUGGGCUGCAAGUAUUUAUCUUCAUCCUACCCAAAUGCAGCUUCACAAAAAGAUUUAUGAAUUGAUAAUUUUAUGACCUAGAACUUUGCUUGUAUCACAUGCUAGAGUCAUAUGUCUUGCUAAUGAAAGUGUUUCUGGUCCAUAUUUCAGGAAUUAAGAGAAUCUCUAUUUCCCAGUGAGCCACAAACAAUCCUGUAACAGCUAGAUGGGAGUACUCCCCACAGAAUAUAUUUGAGACCCACUGGAGGAGGUGAUGGUCAGGUCCCCAUCUGCCCAGAAGUGUGAGGAUUCCGUGUAUCAGCAGAGGGAGAGACCACCUAGAGAUGGUCUCAUCUCCCGGGCGAAGUCCAACGAAAGGGUUGCGGCUGCCCGAUAGAAACUGAGAAGGAUUUGAAAUUACAAGUGGGUUCAUGGGGAAGAGAGCAUUGAUCGAUUAGUGAGGUCUGCACGGUUGCCAGAGGCUGUGGGGCAGUAAGAAUGUUGGGAGUCUCUCUCUGGUUCCAUGUCCUCAGAUUCAAGCAACUUAAUCAAAACCUUUUUAUUAAUUCCUCGUGAUAAUUAAAAAUUGCACAGAAUAUUGCUGAAUGGCAGAGUCCUCCCCA